GAUGAACGCUGGCGGCGUGCCUAAUACAUGCAAGUAGAGCGAACAGACGAGGAGCUUGCUCCUCUGACGUUAGCGGCGGACGGGUGAGUAACACGUGGAUAACCUACCUAUAAGACUGGGAUAACUUCGGGAAACCGGAGCUAAUACCGGAUAAUAUAUUGAACCGCAUGGUUCAAUAGUGAAAGACGGUUUUGCUGUCACUUAUAGAUGGAUCCGCGCCGCUUUAGCUAGUUGGUAAGGUAACGGCUUACUAAGGCAACGAUGCGUAGCCGACCUGAGGGGGGGAUCGGCCACACUGGAACUGAGACACGGUCCAGACUCCUACGGGAGGCAGCGGUAGGGAAUCUUCCGCAAUGGGCGAAAGCUUGACGGAGCAACGCCGCGUGAGUGAGGAAGUUCUUCGGAUCGUAAAACUCUGUUAUUAGGGAGGAACAAAUGUGUAAGUAACUAUGCACGUCUUGACGGUACCUAAUCAGAAAGCCACGGCUAACUACGUG
rnacentral:rRNA from 1 species